GUAUUGUAUUGCGUUAAACGCUACAUGCAUUCCAUGAGACUGUGUUACGGUGUGUGUGUGUAAAGAUGCAGGACUACGGCAAGAGGACAGAGUCCCCAAGGCCAUAGAACUACAGAGGGUGCACAGGUGUGAGUGGAUGUGUAAACAGAGCGUGCACAUGCCCCCUUUCAGGGACCAGCAACAACUCGUGUCGACGUUCAGUAAUGAUCCUUCCGCAGGUUCACCUACGGAAA
rnacentral:misc_RNA from 1 species